rnacentral:rRNA from 1 species
AGAGUUUGAUCCUGGCUCAGGGUGAACGCUGGUAACGUGGAUACCGGCAUGCAAGUCAAGGGGGCCCGCAAGGGCAACCGGCGAACGGCAUAGUAACACGUGGGUACCAACCCUAAAGUGGGACACAGCUCGUCGAAAGACGGGGUAAUUUCCCAUAGUCUCGCAAGAGUAAAGUCGCAAGACGCUUUAGGAUGGGCCUGCGGCCUAUCAGAUUGUUGGCGAGGUAAUAGCUCACCAAGUCUAUGACGGGUAGGGGGCGUGAGAGCGCGACCCCCAUGAAUGGCACUGCGACACGGGCCAUACUCCUACGGGAGGCUGCAGUCGAGAAUCUUCCGCAAUGGGCGAAAGCCUGACGGAGCGACGUUACGUGAAUGAUGAAGCCCUUCGGGGUGUAAAGUUCUUUUAUGUGGGAGGAAGUAAUGACAGUACCACA